AAGAGAUGACUGGGAUGACCUGAGCUGCACCAUUUGCAAAGAACUCACUUUAAUGAUUGAAAAUGGACAACUUAAUCAAGAGAACAAAUCUAGGACCCAGCAUUCAGCUUCCACCGGGAGCAAAGACUAGCCCCUCGUCCUGCCGGCCAGCAGCCACACACGGUGGGGUGUCACUCCAGGCCUUGCUUCAGACGUGUCCUCUUGGCUGUGCAAGUUUUCCAGAUGUUCCUUGUUUUUGAUGACUUUGACAGCUUUGAAGAGCACUGACCAGAUACAGUGGAAGUCCCACUAAAGCCCACCAGUCUGCACUGCCCUUCACCGCAGAUCCUAGCCUUCGACCAGGAAUUGUCUCAAGUGGUUAUGGAGGCUGAAAAGCUGAGAUGUCCCAAGAUAUGCAGUUGGCAAGGUGAAGACCCAGAAGAACUGAUGGCGUAAGUUCCAGUCUAAGUCCAAA